rnacentral:rRNA from 1 species
UACGGAGGGUGCAAGCGUUAUCCGGAUUCACUGGGUUUAAAGGGUGCGUAGGUGGGCAAGUAAGUCAGUGGUGAAAUCUCCGGGUUUAACCCGGAAACUGCCAUUGAUACUAUUUGUCUUGAAUACUGUGGAAGUCAGCGGAAUAUGUCAUGUAGCGGUGAAAUGCUUAGAUAUGACAUAGAACACCAAUUGCGAAGGCAGCUGGCUACACAAAUAUUGACACUGAGGCACGAAAGCGUGGGGAUCAAACAGG